GAGUUUGAUCCUGGCUCAGGAUGAACGCUGGCGGCGUGCCUAACACAUGCAAGUCGAGCGAUUUACUUCGGUAAAGAGCGGCGGACGGGUGAGUAACGCGUGGGUAACCUGCCUCAUUCACAUGGAUAACAUACCGAAAGGUAUGCUAAUACAGGAUAAUAUAAGAGAUUCACAUGGAUUUCUUAUCAAAGCUCCGGCGGUAUGAGAUGGACCCGCGUCUGAUUAGCUAGUUGGUAAGGUAAUGGCUUACCAAGGCGACGAUCAGUAGCCGACCUGAGAGGGUGAUCGGCCACAUUGGAACUGAGACACGGUCCAAACUCCUACGGGAGGCAGCAGUGGGGAAUAUUGCACAAUGGGCGAAAGCCUGAUGCAGCAACGCCGCGUGAGUGAUGAAGGCCUUCGGGUCGUAAAACUCUGUCCUCAAGGAAGAUAAUGACGGUACUUGAGGAGGAAGCCCCGGCUAACUACGUGCCAGCAGCCGCGGUAAUAC
rnacentral:rRNA from 1 species